rnacentral:rRNA from 1 species
GACGUAGGGGGCCAGCGUUGUUCGGAAUUACUGGGUGUAAAGGGUUCGUAGGCGGUGCGGCAAGUUGGGUGUGAAAUCUCUGGGCUUAACCCAGAGGCUGCUUCCGAAACUGCUGUGCUUGAGUGUGGGAGAGGCGCGUGGAAUUGCAGGUGUAGCGGUGAAAUGCGUAGAUAUCUGCAGGAACACGCGUGGCGAAAGCGGCGCGCUGGACCACUACUGACGCUGAGGAACGAAAGCUAGGGGAGCAAGCAGG